CUACGGGGGGCUGCAGUGGGGAAUAUUGGACAAUGGGCGAAAGCCUGAUCCAGCCAUGCCGCGUGUGUGAAGAAGGCCUUCGGGUUGUAAAGCACUUUCAGUGGGGAAGAAAGCCUUGGGGCUAAUACCCUCGAGGAAGGACAUCACCCACAGAAGAAGCACCGGCUAACUCCGUGCCAGCAGCCGCGGUAAUACGGAGGGUGCGAGCGUUAAUCGGAAUUACUGGGCGUAAAGCGCGCGUAGGCGGUCUGAUAAGCCGGUUGUGAAAGCCCCGGGCUCAACCUGGGAACGGCAUCCGGAACUGUCAGGCUAGAGUGCAGGAGAGGAAGGUAGAAUUCCCGGUGUAGCGGUGAAAUGCGUAGAGAUCGGGAGGAAUACCAGUGGCGAAGGCGGCCUUCUGGACUGACACUGACGCUGAGGUGCGAAAGCGUGGGUAGCAAACAGGAUUAGAUACCCGGGUAGUC
rnacentral:rRNA from 1 species